GAUGAAGAACGUAGCGAAAUGCGAUAAGUAAUGUGAAUUGCAGAAUUCAGUGAAUCAUCGAAUCUUUGAACGCACCUUGCGCCCUUUGGCUAUUCCGAAGGGCAUGCCUGUUUGAGUAUCGUGAACACCUCAACUCUCAUGGUUUGCCAUGAUGAGCUUGGACUUUGGGGGUUUUGCUGGCCUUUGGUCGGCUCCUCUCAAACGGAUCAGCUUUCCAGUGUUUGGUGGCGUCACGGGUGUGAUAACUAUCUACGCCUGUGGUUUUCUGCCAGGUAACCUUCAGCGAUGGAGGUUCGCUGGGGCUCAUAAAUGUCUCUCUUCAGUGGAGACAGCUUUUUGGACGUUUGAUCUCAAAUCAGGUAGGACUACCCGCUGAACUUAAGCAUAUCAAUAAGCGGAGGA
rnacentral:misc_RNA from 1 species